rnacentral:ncRNA from 1 species
CGUAGGACAGUCCUUCUGCUGGUAACACUUGCCGAAGCCUUAGCAGCCUGAAAGGGGCCCCUCGACGACUUGAAAUAAAAUUAGAGGGUCUCAAAUGCUAGUCCACUGUAUACAGGAUGGGCAACACUGUCAAAUUGCGGGGAACCCCUAAAGACCUUGACACCAAGCGUCUGCUGGAAACAGCGGCGUGGCCGAGCUAACAGCCCUGGGUAUGGUAAUAGUUCAAGGUAUGAGCCCGAGUGAUUGGGUGAAAUGGGCGAUCUGCAGCCAAGUCCUAAGGCCUCUGUAGGCUAUGGAUGCUGUUCACAGGCCAAAUGGCAGUGGGUGGGAGUAUCAUCUCCUGCUUAAGAUAUGGUCGGUCCCCUUGUGAAAGCUUGGGGGUAAGUUUACCGGAGUGAGAAAUAAUGAGCAAUUUUACCAGGUGUUCUAUAACUGUAAGAAUAUCUGCGCUUGUUCGUUUGCGGUUCUCAGAAAUUCUGAGUACUUUUACGUUCCGUAGGUGAACCUGCGGAAGGAU